CUUGCUUGUACGUAAUUAGAGGUUCUUAACUGAAUUUUCUUGUGAAAAUCCAAGUUUUGGGAUAAAGUGAGAUCGUCUAUUGUUUCAAUAUUGCUAGUUUGUUUGUUGGAAUAGCAAUAUUACCCUUGUGGGGAUUAAACACGUACUUCUGCUACGACGAGGAGCAUUCAAUUUUAAAGGCCGCCUAACAACUUAAGGCCUUUUUCUUUUCCUGUCUACGUAUAUUUUCAUCCUCUAAUUUCCUUCUGCGAGUAUAAGAGUUUUGUGGAUUUUGGAUCGUCCCGUUUGAACGGAACAUCGGAAAUAUCGUAGUUUCAAUCUGAAAGAAAAAGGAGGAAAACAACUUGAGGAGGAUUUUCGACAUCGUGGAUUGGUUGAGAUCUUUGAAUUGGUAAUUUCAUCGUUGGGAUCUUCGAAUUGGUAAUUUCAUCAUUCGAUUGGAAAUUCCUGGUAUGUACAGAGAAUUUUUCUGACAUUGACGUCAAGGAAGCCAUUUGUGAAAAGUGGACAUAUUGUUCAUGUGACAUCUGAAUUUACGUCUUUCUCAUAUUAAUUUGAUCAAGUCAAUCAAUUAUGGUCACUUUUUGUAAUAAUAAUAGGGAGUUUAGAUAUUUGUCCUUACAUUCAUUCAGGAAAUUUCAGAUUUAAUUUUAUUCCAUGCAUAGACUGUUUACUGUUAGAGUGAAUUUGAAAAGACAAUAUCUCAAUAUAUAUA